UUCUAAUGUAAAGGUUACCCUUCAACAAUAUUCAAAACGAAUAGCACCAGUGCCUUUGUUUUUGUUCAUAUUGUAUAUUGUAUUAAUUUCAUAUAAAUAGGAAUAAAGGAUCAUCUCAAUAUAUGAAAUACAUAUUCAGUAUAAUUACUGAGGCAUGCAGCUGCUCUACUGUCAUGAUUUUGAAUGUGUGUGAUAAACUGAAGGAUGAAGUUUCUUUUGAGAUAAUUCUCCUAUUUCAAAGCCUCAAAAAACGGUUUUCAUAUAAGCGAGGGACAUCUUAAGCGACUACUUAACGCAAGAGUAACCUGUGACCUGCAGUCCUGAUUGAAUUCAUUAACAACCAAAUGCUAUAUACUCUAGACAGCUUCAUGUGUUUGCUAAAUGCAGAGAACAUGGACUACGAGUGAGGAAAGAGGAUGUGCGCUUGGUGUUGAAGGAGCUGGAUCCGAGAGGAGUGUCGUUAAGGCAGGCAAGACGUCUCAGACGAUGGAGCUACUCUUCAAAAGGGCCAAACUUCAUUUGGUGCCUCCUUCAGUUGUGUUGCAUGAGACUCAUCCAGUUAUUCUCUGCAGGAACCAUGUUGAUUAAGGCCAGGCUUGGAGAUUACCGACACAGUUACAGUAACAGAGCUGCAUGUGGAGGAGUUUUUGAUUGCAGACAGGAACCAUCAUCCAGGAGCAUCUUGAUCCCAUCACAUCAAGCACACAACCCUACCUCCUGGCUUUAGGACGAAAGAAGAAAGAGGUCCACCAGUUCUUUGUCAUACUGGACAAAAAUGCCAUCAGUUGCAGGUCGGCUUCCUCACAGGUCGGUGCCUUCGACGAGCUAUUUAAAGUGCAUUAGGUUUUUGCCACCACAUACAACCAGUACUCGAGUUGAGGGGGGAUGGGGGGGGGUGGCAUCCCCCCUGGGGG